rnacentral:rRNA from 1 species
GACGAACGCUGGCGGCGUGCUUAACACAUGCAAGUCGAACGCUGAAGCUUGGUGCUUGCCCUGGGUGGUUGAGUGGCGAACGGGUGAGUAAUACGUGAGUAACCUGCUCUUGACUCUGGGAUAAGCCUGGGAAACUGGGUCUAAUACUGGAUACGACAUGCCACUGCAUGGUGGUGUGUGGAAAGGGUUUUACUGGUUUUGGAUGGGCUCACGGCCUAUCAGCUUGUUGGUGGGGUAAUGGCCUACCAAGGCGACGACGGGUAGCCGGCCUGAGAGGGUGACCGGCCACACUGGGACUGAGACACGGCCCAGACUCCUACGUGAGGCAGCAGUGGGGAAUAUUGCACAAUGGGCGGAAGCCUGAUGCAGCGACGCCGCGUGAGGGAUGACGGCCUUCGGGUUGUAAACCUCUUUCAGCACGGAAGAAGCGAGAGUGACGGUACGUGCAGAAGAAGCGCCGGCUAACUACGUG